UGUGUAGCUUUGCUCUGAGGUCCAGAACAUAUUGUAUUUCAUUAUUUAGCCGGGCUUGGACCUUCCCCACAGUUGUUUCUUUCCACGGCUUCCUGCCAAACAACAACUAAGCAUAUCAAUAUAUAACACCACCCUUUUGACCUGAUAUGGCUUUUACUUUCUCAUCAUCAGACUGAGACUAUGAUGACUGAUUUAAUCCAUGUACAUAGACACAUACCAUGAUUUAGCACCAUCCGUCAAUCCAUUCAUCUAUCUAUAAAUUUAAUCUGUUUGUGUGUGUACCAUUAAAUUUCUGUGAGCCAGCAUAAACAUGUGAGGUCAGUGCAACUGAAAACAUGACAGGAAAAAGUUAAAUAUAUAUUAUAUUACAUAACCAUUAAUAAUUCAGUGACAGUCACCCCAGACAAAAAAAAAUUCCAUAUCAUUUGCAUGGCUCUUGUUUUCUUCCCCUUUCCUCAUAGGGGAGGUGCAUAGGAACCAAUUUCCUCAUUUACUCCUGGUUUUAAAAGCUAUCUUGCUUAAAUGAAGACAACUGGAUUACCACGGGAAGAAAUGAAUUUUUAAAAUAUAUCAUAAGAUUAAUAGGUGUAUGUUGCUAGGGGCGUUGUGUUUGUCACGAAUCAGCAAUAACAAGCAUUUUUACUACUCAAACAGAAACGGUGUGUUCUGUUUCACAAUGAAUAGUUAAGUAAUGGCUUCCAGCUAUCUAACCAGAAGUUUUGAACAAACUCAGAGCUCUGUUGGAGGCUGCAGUGUGUUUUUUAAGUGUUUAUGACAAAGCAAACACUUUUAUCUAUGCAACUGAGCACAGUAACAGUUUCAUUUCUUUUGUGCAGGGCAGUUUAAUGUGACAUAUUCAUUUUUAAAAAAUUGCAUGUAAAGCUUUCGGAUAAUUUGUAGCCAAUGUGAACAGUACAGAACACUAAGUACUGUCAAAUCAAAGGUAUUUCGUGACAGGUGAACAACUGGAGCAGCUCAGAGACAGCUUUUUACCCUCCCAUUCUUUAAACACAUGCUCACUCUUACAAUCACCACUGCAGUAGCCUUUAUAACUACUCAUAUUUCAUGGCUAUGAUAGUGGAGCCCUAAAACAUGUUGCACACACAGACCUAGCAUGUGUGUUACUGCACUCCAAGUUAGCAAACAACUGGUGCACUCUGAACACUAAACCGCACUCACACAAAAGUGAAGGCCAAAAGUUCUCGCAGAGACUGGGGCACACUGGACAUUCCUGUAAAGUUAAGUCAAAAUAGUUUAGAAUGUUAUACAUGGAGGUUUUCUGAAACUACAUUAACCUGAAGGGAAUUAACAUGAACUACAUCAAAUUAAAUCUUUGCUCAAAGUCAUUCCAAAUAUUUUACAAUAAUACCUAUGUGCCUGCAUUUGCAUGCAAAAGACCCCAGUAACUAUACAAUUUCUAUAUCAGUUUAUUAUUUAGAACAAAUGACCUAAAUCUUUCCAAAAAGAAAAGCUGCCCAGAAUUUUGUACAUUUUAAAAAAAAGUACUAAACCCUCUAUUAUGUAUAACAACAGAAUCGGCUCCUUCAGACCAUUAAAUCGACUGUCACCAACCUCCACUGUGUAUAUUCAGUCAGACUGUUUUAAACCUCAAGUAUAAUUGUUUAUUUCAGUACAAAAAAGCGUUUUCCUCACAUGCAAUUUGGUUUUUAAAGCAAUCACUGUAAAAUAAAACACACUAAAAUCCACUGAGUGUUAAAAUAUCAGCAGUUAAAUGAGAUGAUGUUAUAGGGACAAGCACACAUAUGGAAUUAAUUAAAAAGGCAUUUAUAACUUAAAAUGUGAGUAAAAAUAUUCAGUUUUUUCAAGGACAAUAGAUCUAAUGGUCCAUUUCCAACAUUUACAUGUUUUGAACAUUUAGAUAUUUUGCUGUGUUUGUAUUCCAGGGAAUUCCUGUCCAAGUGCAGGAAGAUCCAGUACAGGCACAAGGAGGAUGAGGAGGAUGCUAAUGUUGCAAGUCUCAGAUCAACCAGCUGAGCGCUAAGAGCUAUGACUCUGGGAAGUUGUCCACAGCAUAAAAAGAUCCUGGACGAGCCCCCACUUGUGUUACGUCCACCCCACCAUGGUGGAGGCAAAGGAAGGAAGGAGACAGCAACACCGGAAAACCACAAUCAAUGAAGGAGGACAACA
ensembl:lncRNA